GACGAACGUUGGCGGCGUGCUUAGUACAUGCAAGUCAACUGAAGCAGUGGUAGCAAUAUCGCUGUGGAGGUGGCGCACGGGUGAGUAACACGUAGGUAAUCUGCCUUCAGGUCUGGCAUAACUCCGGGAAACCGGGGCUAAUAGCAGAUGAUGCAGCGGCUCGACAUCGAGACAGUUGUUAAAGCUAUGGCGCCUGAAGAUGAGCCUGCGUCUGAUUAGCUAGUUGGCGGGGUAACGGCCCACCAAGGCAACGAUCAGUAGCUGGUCUGAGAGGAUGAUCAGCCACACUGGAACUGAGACACGGGCCAGACUCCUACGGGAGGCAGCAGUAAGGAAUAUUGCUCAAUGGGAGAAAUCCUGAAGCAGCAACGCCGCGUGAGGGACGAAGGGCUUUUGCUUGUAAACCUCUGUAGUGAGAGAAAAAAAUCCCAAUCUUUGGGACAUGAUGGUAUCUCAAAAGUAAGCCCCGGCUAACUACGUG
rnacentral:rRNA from 1 species